rnacentral:tRNA from 1 species
GAUCCCGUAGCUCAGUUGGUAGAGCAUCUGACUUUUAAUCAGGAGGUCCCCGGUUCGAACCCGGGCGGGUUCA